rnacentral:sRNA from 1 species
AAGGGUCAGCUGAUGAAAGAAGCCGUUAUCACAAUAUUGAAGACGUUCCGUGCGAUACUUUGUGAACAGUUUUUUGUAAAGAGUUUUUAAUUCAUCAGAAAACACGUUGAAGUAGGGUAGCAUUGACAGAGGAAUUACGUUAUUAUUGUCUGCAAACAAAUUAAAUGUUUAAAUGUGAACAUUUAAACAAGUUGUACUAUGGACUGCAUGAAAAAGAUUGUUUGUUGCAAGAACAAUUGCAAAAGAGAAACCUAUGCAGAAGGUAAAAAAGAAGACAUCAUUGUAGUUAAUAUCAUGCUUGGUGAAGUCCCUUUUAAGUUGGAAAAGAAAGAAAUGAUUCCAUUGAAGUUAUGGAGGUCUGCAGAUUGUGGCAGACUAUCAUCGUCAAAUCAAAUGUGUGAAACAAAGCUGUAAAUAUAUCUCGCAUAAAAUAAAAUGUUUCUUUUUUAGUA